rnacentral:rRNA from 1 species
AGUGAACGCUGGCGGUAGGCCUAACACAUGCAAGACGAACGGCAGCACAGUAAGAGCUUGCUCUUACGGGUGGCGAGUGGCGGACGGGUGAGGAAUACAUCGGAAUCUACUUUUUCGUGGGGGAUAACGUAGGGAAACUUACGCUAAUACCGCAUACGACCUACGGGUGAAAGCAGGGGAUCUUCGGACCUUGCGCGAUUGAAUGAGCCGAUGUCGGAUUAGCUAGUUGGCGGGGUAAAGGCCCACCAAGGCGACGAUCCGUAGCUGGUCUGAGAGGAUGAUCAGCCACACUGGAACUGAGAAAAGGUCCAGACUCCUACGGGAGGCAGCAGUGGGGAAUAUUGGACAAUGGGCGCAAGCCUGAUCAAGCCAUACCGCGUGGGUGAAGAAGGCCUUCGGGUUGUAAAGCCCUUUUGUUGGGAAAGAAAAGCAGCAGGUUAAUACCCCGAUGUUCUGACGGUACCCAAAGAAUAAGCACCGGCUAACUUCGUG